GACGAACGCUGGCGGCGUGCUUAACACAUGCAAGUCGAACGGAAAAGCCCUGCUUUUGUGGGGUGCUCGAGUGGCGAACGGGUGAGUAACACGUGAGUAACCUGCCCUUGACUUUGGGAUAACUUCAGGAAACUGGGGCUAAUACCGGAUAGGAGCUCCUGCUGCAUGGUGGGGGUUGGAAAGUUUCGGCGGCUGGGGAUGGACUCGCGGCUUAUCAGCUUGUUGGUGGGGUAGUGGCUUACCAAGGCUUUGACGGGUAGCCGGCCUGAGAGGGUGACCGGCCACAUUGGACCUGAGAUACGGCCCAGACUCCUACGGGAGGCAGCAGUGGGAAAUAUUGCACAAUGGGCGGACGCCUGAUGCAGCAACGCCGCGUGCGGGAUGACGGCCUUCGGGUUGUAAACCGCUUUCGCCUGUGACGAAGCGUGAGUGACGGUAAUGGGUAAAGAAGCACCGGCUAACUACGUG
rnacentral:rRNA from 1 species